ensembl:lncRNA
GUGGGGCAGAGCGCAAUGCUGUUUGUUUGCCCUUUGCAGAAGGCGUGCUCCUGAAAAAGGCAGCCUCUCCCUUCCCCCGUGCUGACUCAGACCUUCAAAGCCAACCCAGGGCUUUUUCUAUCAGUAGGCUGCUGAGAGCUGACAGCCUGAAAACUCGAGGAAGCUGUUUGCUUCAUUUCAGCAGUUUUGAAGUCUUGUUUCAGUCCAGUGGGUUGACAGAGAUGCUCGGGUAUUGCUUUCUUGGGAUCCAUUUAUCUAAAGAAGCAAUCAAGCUAUUCCCACUGGCUGCUGCGUGAAGGCCAAGGAGACUGGAGAUACAUACACGGGACCUGCUCUUUGAUUAGUCUGGUGGGAGAACAUCUCCUGGCAUGUGCAACAUGGGAAUGCGAUGGGGGAAACAUUGGUUUCUGCAGCUGGUACCUGAGGGAGCCCUCGCUUAUGCCCUGAUCUCUGAAAAACUGCUGGCCAAAGGAAGGAGGAAGAAAUGUACUCUGAUGCCACAGCAAGAGUGAGAAGAAAACAGCUUCUGGUGUUUCUUGCUCUCCACUGUUGAUAUUACUCCCAGCGUGAGCAACUCAACAAAGCUCAUGGCUCUGCAGGGUGUUUCCAUUCUUCGGAAAGCUCAUAGCUCUGCAGGGUGUUUCCAUUCUUCGGAAAGCAGUGACAAGCCAUUGUGUCUUUGAUAGAUCCCUGUUUUAUCUGCUAAAAACUCAGAUCCCUGGACUCUGUAAGACUUGGGAGAUCACCUUCUACUCAACACAGCCAUCACUGAGAAGAUCUCCUACCUUUGGCACUUCUUUCACUGUCAAGGUCCCAGCACCUUUCUAAGCACUGCUGAAGACAUGCUCUGCUGACUCCACUCGUGGUUUCUGUGGGCUUCCCACUUUCCUCUCCUGGGCACACAAAAUGCCUCACACUGUCCCCUGAGCAUGACCUCCAUUUGGGAAAAUUACCACUGUUAUUUCUGCUCAUUGACUGUCACGAGGCCUUACCCUCUCCUCAAAGCUCCUGGAAAAAAACAUCCUAUGCUCCUCAUUUUCAACAGAAAUAUUUAUAUUAUGAGUUCUUUAUAUUAGGAGUUCAUGCCUCAGAGGCUCAUUUACAGUCCUGUUGUAACUGCACAGUGGUAACCUGCGUGUACAUAACAGCAUGAUGGACUGUAAUGUGCUACGCUUAGCAAGUGCAGCAGUUCACUCACUCUCCUUGAAGAACAAACAAACAACAGCCUCUGCACAGAACAGGCUUGGAGAGACACAGAGUGCCGACUCCUUCAUCCUUUGGGGCGAGGGGAGGGAACAAGUGAUAAAAGGAUUUACCUGUCCCGGUUCAGCUGGCUGAUGUGCCGUAUCCUCAGAAGAAGCCUCCUGCCAGGCAGAGUCCUACCUACAUCAAAGGCUGACAGGAUGAGUCACCGGGUGCUAGGCCCUUCACAGGCACAUUUCCACCCUGUCAGCAAGAUCAGGUUCUCGUUAGCAUUCCCAGGUUCACUAACAGCCUCAGGCGUGUGUCACCACAUCAUCUCUUCAGGAACAAAUGACUCGGUGUGGGGGUUCAACGUGGCACACUGGAAGGCUCAGAGGCAGGCCUGAGCCUGGGGGCUCUGACUCACCAGCAGGACGGGGUGGUGGGCCUUGCAGCAAGAUGGUUGCUCUGAGAGCCCGUGUUCCCCUGUGCAGACAUCUCAGGUGGUGCUGAGAUGGGUCCUGGGCAGCCACAGCCUUCACGCCAAAGCGUGAGAGAGAAAUGGAUGUAGAAUGUGAAUUGAGUGGGAGCCUCCUUAGCGGUGGGCUGCAGGGGUGGGUGGCAGAGGGAACCAGGUGUCCUGAGGACACUGUUGUGUACUCAGAUGAACACAGAUGUACUGUUCAAGCCACACACAUACCUCUCCUUCACUGGAAUUUGUAUUAGGAUGAAAACUGGCUGUCAGACAGGCAGGUUGGGGUGAAAAGGCCCUCAAAACCAGAGACCCAGCCUUCAGCCUUAAGACUAUCCACUGAAAUAAUUCUAUUUUUCUCUCCAUUAUUGUUUAUCUCCACUAUUAACAUUCUGCCUGUACCUCUAUUAGCAUAUGAACUGGCCCCAUCCCUUCUUUUAAAUCUCUCUGCAGAAACAAAAGAAAUACUCAUGCUCUCGGUAAAUACGGCAGUGCAGGUGCUCCUUACAGAUAAGGUAAAAAAGCGACUUCAAACAUUAGUAAUAACUUAUGAAGGCCACAGCUGAAUUUUUAGUAGCUGAGUACCAGAAACAACUCCUGAGAUACGAGUACAUAUUUCAUAUUUGUCUCUAUUCCAGCACAAAAAUUCAGGUUUGGAGAGAGGUAAAAUUAAGGCAUUUCUCUGUUGUAAGAACAGACAGCACUGAGGUUAUGUUCAGGUCUAUCAGACACAAGCAUCUGGUUUGCUUCACAUUAUGAGAUCAAACAAUACCAACAGCGAUGCCCGUUCUGGGGUAAGCAGCUCAAUUCCUGCAACAGUAAGAGGCCACUAGAGAAGCAGACUAAUUUCCGAGAAGAUAUAAAAAUGAUUGCUCAGAAUCACUUCAUACCUCGCCUGAGGUAAUGAACUGUGGCGGGGAAUGGAUGCACCACAGCUGCCAGCCAAAUUCCACGCAUCCAGCAGCACCAACACACUGCUCCUCCAUCCCACCUCCUCCCUGCAAACAAGACACAUUGCUCCGCCCUCCAUUCCACCUGCAGCCCUUUGCUAUUUGCUGUGAGCAGGGGUCCCUUCCAAUCCAACUAUUCUGUGAUUUCUAUGAACCACUGGCACUAGAUCACUGUUGGGAGGCACUGGGGGUGACUGGGACAUUGCUGUGCUGCGCAGGACAGGAAGGUGAGGUGGGUGGGUUAUGGUGGUGGGAUGCCCCCUGUGCAGCACUGUCAGGAGGGACGGGGAGAAGGCCUGGUGCUGUAGAGGCCCACGGCAGGGCACACAUCAGGGAAGCAGACUCGAAGUUGAUGCUGAUGGAUGUGUCACUCCCCUAUCCCGACACUGCUGAAGCUCACACCAACAUAAAACAUGUCUCCAUCUCAAAUUCCCUAAUCAAGCUGCAAUACAGGCACCAGAAUACAACCACCAGACAUCUCCCAGCCCAUGGCUGUUCUCUGCCAACACUUGUUGGAGGGCAGGGAUGUCUCCUGUGCAGGCCUGUGUUGCUCUCCUGACAAUUACAAAGGCAAUUAAGGACUUCCUUUCAGCGCCACAACUCAAACAAAAAUGAAGAGGCCAUACUUUAUGCUAAGUACCUAAUUGCCUUCUCAUUCCACAGAGUUUAAUCAUCUGUAAAUACAGGAAAAAAAUCUAAGAAAGGGCAGCUCUGAUGCACCCAAACAGCUCUCUGCUUUGCUGCCUUGCCCCUCUGCUCUUCCCUCUCCCUGUUCAAGUUCUCACCCCCUCUUUUAGGGCAGAGGACCUCAUGCAGACACAUCCCUGCCUGAGGCUGCUGCUGAGCCUGGUCUGUACAACCACUGCCACAGGCGACAGCCCACAGCAUUGCUGGGCUCACUGAAAUCUCUCCCUACAGGACACAACAAGCAAAGCCCCUUCCAUGCCCUGUGCAGGGAGGAGGCUGCGUGAGACUGCUCAGGAUCACAAGUUUGAUGUAGAACUGGCCACUCGCAGGGCCAGGUAGUGACACAGGGCUCAUCACAAACACCAGCCAACACACUGAC